rnacentral:rRNA from 1 species
CGAGUGGCGAACGGGUGAGUAACAUAUCGGAACGUACCGAGUAAUGGGGGAUAACUAAUCGAAAGAUUAGCUAAUACCGCAUAUUCUCUGAGGAGGAAAGCAGGGGACCUUCGGGCCUUGCGCUAAUAGAUGAGCCUAAGUCGGAUUAGCUAGUUGGUGGGGUAAAGGCCUACCAAGGCGACGAUCUGUAGCGGGUCUGAGAGGAUGAUCCGCCACACUGGGACUGAGACACGGCCCAG